UGCUGGAAUUAGUUUCUCCCUCCAUGUCUAGAAUGUAGAAAUCUGCAGGAAGAAUCAAGUCAUUAACUUGCACCAGGACAUCUUCUACCUUCCCAGCAGGGCGGGCAUUGCUCCUGUUUGCUAAUUGCACAAUUAAACCUGUAGGCUGCAAAGGACCAAGAUCAAGGUUAUUAUAAAUAGAAGUAGGCAUAACAUUAAUACCUGCUCCCAGAUCAAGCAUACAAUUUUCAAACUUGUGAUCCCCAAUGGAACAGGGAAUACCAAAAACUCCUGGAUCAUCACACUUUUUUGGCAUGGUCUGACUGAGAACUGAGACAUUAGCUGAGGAACCAGUUUUAGGCUGAAUGAAAGCAGAAACAUUUCGUCCCAAACUGACUCUCUCAUUUCCCUUCAACUU
rnacentral:lncRNA from 1 species